rnacentral:rRNA from 1 species
UACAGAGGGUGCGAGCGUUAAUCGGAAUUACUGGGCGUAAAGCGUGCGUAGACGGUAGCGUAAGUCAGAUGUGAAAGCCCCGGGCUCAACCUGGGAAUUGCAUUUGAGACUGCUCUGCUCGGGUGCGGAAGAGGGAAGCGGAAUUCCCGGUGUAGCGGUGAAAUGCGCAGAUAUCGGGAGGAACACCGGUGGCGAAGGCGGUUCUCUGGGCCUGUACUGACGCUGAGGAGCGAAAGCGUGGGGAGCGAACAGG